rnacentral:misc_RNA from 1 species
CUCAAAAGACCCAAAAACCCUUUGCAGCACCAUCGUUUUGCAUAUCAACAAACACGCCCAUAAAACGAAGCACCACACCUUGUCCUGGCACUUUUGAGAUGAAAAUAUGAAAAAGAAAUUGAGGAAGUUGGGUUGUGAUGAAUUUGCUACAAAACCCACAUGCUCAAUCUCCCAAAAAAAUCCAAAUUGAGAAAAAAAAUAAACAAAG